rnacentral:rRNA from 1 species
AACGAACGCUGGCGGCAUGCCUAACACAUGCAAGUCGAACGAGACCUUCGGGUCCAGUGGCGCACGGGGGCGUAACGGGGGGGGAGCUGUUCUUAGGUUCGGACUAACGCCCCGUAAGGCGUGCUAAUACCGGAUAAUCUCGUCGGACCCAAGAUGUAAAGUCUCUGGCUGGUGCCGAGUUGGAGUAGCUAGUUCGUAGGGUAAAAGCCUACUAAGGCGACGAUCCAUAGCUGGUCUGAGAGGAUGAUCAGCCACGCUGACACGUAGACACGGCCCAGACUCCUGCGGGCGGCAGCAGUGGGGACUGUUCGACAAUGGGCGAACGGCUGAUCCAGCAAUGCCGCGUUGGUGAUGAGGGCCGUAGGGUUGUAAAGCUCUUUUACCCGGGAUGAUAAUGACAGUACCGGGAGAAGAAGCUCCGGCUAACUCCGUG